GGUGUUAAUAUCGGGUACUGCAUCUAAAGGAUCAGAUUUCCUGUUGCUACGCGAUGCGCUUGCUUUCUGACCAACCUGAAACAAGCCGUUGCCAUGUUCUUCACCUGAAAACGAAAUCGCUAAAAACCUAGAGAUGGAACUAACAUUUUACAAAUUGGUAUGGUUCAAGAAGUCUUCAGUAAAGCAUUGAAAACUGGA